UCCCGGAAAGGACUGGGUCCGGCUCCCCCCACCCCGGGUUAGCCGCCGGGAAGCGGCGGCUCCGCCUCCGCCUGGCCAGUCGGCGCCCGCCGGAGCGCUGGGGGAGGGGAGGGGCGCCGGGGGGACGGUGUCGGUGCCCGGGCCGCGAGGAGAGGUGUUCUCUCCCGCCCCCGGGAAGGGACGCCUCCUUAUCUGCGCAGAUCGCGGACGUGGUAUGAACCCGGGCGCGGGAAGGCUCUGGGAGCCGGAGUUCACGGUACUGGACCGGCCGCCGGUUCUCGCGUGUUCGCGAAGCACGUUUGCAGCCCAACGUGGACACAGGUUUGCACCUCAAUAGACGCGCUCACCCGGAGCAUGUUUGCAUCCCCAACACCCUGUCUCAGUCUCCGGGUGGAAGACCAAAGCUAGGAAAGCACCCCUUCACCAAGUACCAGUACACGUGGUUUGAGCAUCUUCAGUUAAACUAGAAAUAUCAUUUUAGAAAAAUAUAUUUAUCUACACUCCAAAGAGCAACUGAAACAACCAAGAUUCUUCAAUGUAUCUUCAAAAUUAAACACUUUUCCUUAGUGGUAUAUGUA